GACUGCGCCUCCUCGGGAGAAGCGUUUGUUGUCUGUAUCACGCAGGACGUGCUGCUCUUUCUGUUUGUGUGUCUACCCAUCACUUGGAUGGCAGAAUUCUUGUCACGCCUGAGACUGCCUUCUGUAAAAGUGAGAGAGCAAAUCAUCUAAGAAAAUUCAGAAUACCUUCUGUUUCAUAGCCACACAGAUUUGGGACAUUAAGGAACAUUGGGAGCUAAAUUUAUGAUUGGCAAAAAUCUGGAAGAUGGGUAUCAAAACAGAAGACAUUCGAGGAGCUAGCUGUUUUAGGAGGUGUCCCUCCAGAGUGACCUGAUGGAAGGCUUGAAUUUGGAAAUUGGGUUCUGCUCGCUCGGACAUCCCAACAUCAUGGACCCUUGCUGCUCCCUGUUCCAAAUGCUCGCAAUCUCAACUAUUUGGAAACCGCCAGGAAUGCUUUCUAAUUCUCUCUCGCAACUAGAACUGUAAUCAGAAAGAAAUUUUGUAUUUUUGUAUAACUCGAUUGUGUGCCAUUUUAUAUAACAGGUCCUGUUUUACAAAUAAAUUCUGUUUUACUAACAUUGUGUUUAGAAA